AGUCGAGAGGUUGCAGUAGCUCUUAAUGUACCCAUUUAAAUAAUGAGAAAGCUGGUAAGAGGCAUUUCUUCUCAAUAAAUACUAUAAACAUAUAUGUAAGAUAAAUAAAAUUGUAGGAGCUCUAACUUACCCAAAUGAUGCACUCCAUGGCUCCUUUUCUCACCUCCUUCCGUGGUAUACCCAGUAGUUUAUUUGCAUCGGUCGGAAGAAGCAUCCUAG
rnacentral:lncRNA from 1 species